rnacentral:rRNA from 1 species
GAUGAACGCCGGCGGUGUGCCUAAUACAUGCAAGUCGUACGCACUGGCCCAACUGAUUGAUGGUGCUUGCACCUGAUUGACGAUGGAUCACCAGUGAGUGGCGGACGGGUGAGUAACACGUAGGUAACCUGCCCCGGAGCGGGGGAUAACAUUUGGAAACAGAUGCUAAUACCGCAUAACAACAAAAACCACAUGGCUUUUGUUUGAAAGAUGGCUUUGGCUAUCACUCUGGGAUGGACCUGCGGUGCAUUAGCUAGUUGGUAAGGUAACGGCUUACCAAGGCAAUGAUGCAUAGCCGAGUUGAGAGGGUGAUCGGCCACACUGGGACUGAGACACGGCCCAG